UACGUAGGGGGCGAGCGUUGUCCGGAUUUACUGGGCGUAAAGGGCGCGUAGGCGGAUCUGUAAGUCAGAUGUGAAAUCCUGCGGCUUAACCGUAGAACUGCCUUUGAUACUGCAGAUCUUGAGUUCGGAAGAGAAUAGCGGAAUUCCAGGUGUAGCGGUGAAAUACGUAGAUAUCUGGAAGAACACCAGUGGCGAAGGCGGCUACUUGGUUCGCUACUGACGCUGAGGCGCGAAAGCGUGGGGAGCAAACAGG
rnacentral:rRNA from 1 species